rnacentral:rRNA from 1 species
UACGUAGGGCGCAAGCGUUGUCCGGAAUUAUUGGGCGUAAGAGCUCGUAGGUGGCUUGUCACGUCGGGUGUGAAAGCUUGGGGCUUAACUCCAGGUCUGCAUUCGAUACGGGCUGGCUAGAGGUAGGUAGGGGAGAACGGAAUUCCUGGUGUAGCGGUGAAAUGCGCAGAUAUCAGGAGGAACACCGGUGGCGAAGGCGGUUCUCUGGGCCUUACCUGACGCUGAGGAGCGAAAGCGUGGGGAGCGAACAGG